rnacentral:lncRNA from 1 species
AAAAGUGUCAGUAUAGCAUGAACCUUCAGUAUCUGCUGGCUUCAGAUGACUCUCCCUGCACGUGCCACACUUCCCAGUGUCUGCUUUUUGGAUCUGGGAAGGGAGAACCCAUGAGAGCAAGGUUGUAUUGAAGGCUGGAGUUAACACGUUAAUGGGUAUUGAUCUCACAGAGCAAUUGUUCGGAGGCCUUCACCAAAUCAAGUCCUUUCUGUGAGCUAACUUCAGAAAAAUGCAAAUGUCCCAGGAGAUAACUCCUUUCUUGGCAGCCCCAGAGGUCCUGCACUGCCUUCUCCCACCCGACUCUCACAGUUUGUAACAUCUGAGUAUACUUAAUAUUUCCCAGCUGUCUUAACAAUGUCUGUUAGUUUUUCCCCCCAGAAUUGACACUCCUUAUGCUUUUGGAUGUGAGAGACCAGGGUGCAAAUAAAUCCCGUGUCCUUCAUAGCUGAACAGGUUUCCUGGCUAAGAGGAGCAGCUGGUGACAGCAGUCACCACCCAGCUCCCUGGGCUACAUGGGACAGGGGGGACAGGAGGUUCUCAAGGAUUUCACAAGCUCCUGUGAUCUGCCAUGUGCGGAUCACCCCGAUGUCGGAGAAAUUAGUCUGCAGGUCCAGGAAGCACGUAAACAUCAUAUGAGGAUCACACCUGAAUUGGGGGAAAUUCUGAAGAACGAGUGUGUCAGCAGACAGGCAGGUUUGGCUGCAAUCCAGGAGGAAGGAUUGAAAGUCAACAAACAAAAGGUUCAAUUAGUGCAACAAGAGCUUUCAACAUCCUCAAAGGCAUCUAAUUGUUCAGGACAUACUGAGUAUCUGCACUUACAGAAAUCAAGCCUCAAGUGGAACUCCCCUGAAAGCAAGGCACCGGGAAGCCAAGAUUAGUUUUCAGAAACUACCAUCACAGAUGGCUUCCUGCAACACAAAGAAGGCUCCUGGCAAGGCAGUUUGCUGGAUAACAUUAGAGUUGGAUGUGGUGGAAGUAUUACCUCACAGAGACACCCAUUCAGCAGCAUUUAUUUCAUUGUGUUCAGCACAGUAGAUUUGAGCAGCUACUUUGCGCUGGCGCUGGCUUUCCUCGCGCUGCGCUCACGUACAAAUCUCUCUUGCAUGACUCUUGCCUAACAGUCGUCUGCGACCAGGUGGUCUCUGUGAGAAGUGGUUGUGCUGCAGUGAGGAAAAAAUGUAUCCUUUUUUUUUUCCCCUUCCUUUUUAAAAAAAAUAAUAUAUAUUUCUGUAGCAAAGUGGAGGAGGUGCUGCAAUGGUAUCAGAGGCUUCCUGG